GCCGGGCUCCCUCUAGGCAGCCUCCUGUGUGGUGCGCCUGCUGAAGGCUGAAGCCGCCGCCGCCACCGCCCGCCGCCACCGGCUGCUCUGGGCACUAACUCGACCGAGGCUCAGCUCAGACUGGAGUUCUGUGACUGCAGGAGAAACUCCUGGAGGUGGAGACCAGCUGCCUGUCUACUCCUUGAAGUUCCCCUCAACCACAGCUCCUGGAUCCUGCACUGAGCAGGGACCAUGCCCUAUAUCCAGCAGCCCCCGCAGCGGCCAGGUUGCCAGGCCCUCCUGCAGGACUUCCUGGCUUCGGCAGAGUCUCCCACAGGAUCCCCUACAGUCCAGCCCCAGCCAGCCCAGCCAGGCAAAGCACACCUCAGGCAAGAAGGGCUCAUAGCUCAGUGGUGACUCAUCCCAGCAGAGCAGACCAGCCCAAGCUGCGGGGACACCUCCCCGGCUGGGGUGGGAGCAAGGGCUGCUGGGGCAGCAGGCAGCGCACCAAGGGGGCACAGCCGGUGAGUCAGACCUGGGGAGGGGGCCCGGGUGCCGCCGUGACUCACCAGAAAGGAAGCUGUACCUUGGGGCAGGAUGGGGCUGUUUGCAUCAGGGCCGGGCAGGGAGAUAGCAGCUGUUACCGGUUGUAAAGGUACAAGACCUGGGCAAAGGGCACAAGGGCCCCUGUGACUAGACCUGGCUUCUUGUAACCUCUGGCUCCCUUGGGUCAGAAGAUGGAGCCACCUAUGGCCGGCAUCUGGAACUGCCCAACCUACCCGACCCACUCUAGGAAAAAAAAAAAUGUACCACCCAGACCACAAGAAUUUUCCAGCCCAGGCAUCAGCCUUGAUGUGAUCCAGCUGUGGACUGCUGAGGACCAGCCCCCUCCCGGUGUCUAAGGCCUCUGCGUUCUGUUCCGGGAAGUCUGCCCUCCGCUGCCCUCACUGCUCCCCUUAUGGCCACAAGGGGGCACCAAAACUCUGUAGGGCGGAGUGGGCGCGAGUGCCGGCGUGAAGUCUGACAUUCACCCCAGAGCACCACGCUCUGCUGAGUGGCAUACACUGCCCCUCACUUGAGGGUUCUCCUCGGACUCCAACCCAGGACCAUCUACCUCUUUCCCCUCUAGUCCAAUGACCACCACAACCCACCAGAGACGACUCCUCCCACUCCAAAGGCCUUCCGAACCUCAAAUCUGACUCUACGCUGGUCAGGGCUCCGAGAGCUCCUCAGAGACCAGGCCAGCAAUCUCCCAGUCAGAAAGCAAACCCUUCAGGGAAGUGGAGGUGUGCCGGGGCUGGAGAGAUGGCUCAGCGGUUAAGGGCACUGGCUGCUCUUCCAGAGGUCCUGAGUUCAAUUCCCAGCAACCACAUGGCGGCUCACAGCCAUCUACAACGGGAUCAGACGCCCUCCUCUUCUCUCUGAGGCUCUCUUCUCCCAUGCAGGCACUACACCCCAGUGGAGCACUCAUAUACGUGAAGAAAUAAAUCUUUU